GUCAGGAUGGCCGAGCGGUCUAAGGCGCCAGAAUCAAGCACAUAUUGAUUGCUUUAAUAAGAGAACUUGCAGUAUUCUGGUCUUCAAUGAAGGCGUGGGUUCAAAUCCUACUCCUGACA
rnacentral:tRNA from 1 species